CCUACGGGUGGCAGCAGUGAGGCAUAUUGGUCAAUGGACGAGAGUCUGAACCAGCCAAGUAGCGUGAAGGAUGACUGCCCUAUGGGUUGUAAACUUCUUUUAUAUGGGAAUAAAAUGUUCCACGUGUGGGAUUUUGUAUGUACCAUAUGAAUAAGGAUCGGCUAACUCCGUGCCAGCAGCCGCGGUAAUACGGCGGAUCCGAGCGUUAUCCGGAUUUAUUGGGUUUAAAGGGAGCGUAGGUGGAUUGUUAAGUCAGUUGUGAAAGUUUGCGGCUCAACCGUAAAAUUGCAGUUGAAACUGGCAGUCUUGAGUACAGUAGAGGUGGGAGGAAUUCGUGGUGUAGCGGUGAAAUGCUUAGAUAUCACGAAGAACUCCGAUUGCGAAGGCAGUUCACUGGACUGCAACUGACACUGAGGCUCGAAAGUGUGGGUAUCAAACAGGAUUAGAUACCCUAGUAGUC
rnacentral:rRNA from 1 species